UAAAGGUUAACAUCAAAAUUUUGAUACGGCUCAUAAUAGUUUAGGUUAGAUCCUACAUUACUUUGUUGAGUUAAUAUAUUCAUGAUCCUUAAAAUAAGAUGUGGUGUAGGAUGGAAUUAGGUUUCUAAAGGGGUCAUUUACACGGCCAGUGGCUAGUGAUUACCUACUUAAUUGAGGCUCUACGCAAAGGAAAGGCAUUGGUUUGAUCAUUCCUGGCAUCCGCUCGGCCUUCGAGGUAGACAGGGAGACGGUGCGGAUCCGUAGGAGCUUAUCAGCAGAUUCACAGGAGCACUUCAUUAUUCCGGAGGUGCCACUUAUGAUCAUAUUCUUUUGUGUAUAUAUUUUGGGCACGACGGGGUCCUGUCCCGUCCUUAUAUCUAUUACUCUAGUAGAGGCUCGUAGAUACAUACGUGUGGGUUGUUGAGGUCCCAUGACGAUGUCAUUGAACAUUUUUGGUAACCGUACAAGCUUAUGUUUAUCUAUGUAUAGCCUCGGGGUAUUUAUAUAUUUAUGUGUUCAGGUUGAGUAUGAUGACUAGUAAUAUGAGCGGUGCUCGGUAGUUAGCUCCGGGUACCCGUCAUGGCUCUUAGUCGGGUCGUGACAUGAGUGUGGUGAGAUAGGGCAUUAUGCGAGGGAGUAUCCUAGAUCCAGGUAGGGUUCCAGAGUUCAGACAUGUAGGCCUCCAGCACCGCUAGCCAAAGGAGGAGGAUAUUCUGGUAGAGGAGGUUCACAGUCUGGCAGAGGUGGUCAUCAGCCUAGCAGGGGUUAGCAUUUAUCCGGUAGAGGUGGUUCUCAGGUCUCCAGGGUAAGAGCACAGUCUGGCCAGAGUGACCGUGGAAGUGCUCGUUGCUAUGGUUUUCUCGAUAGGCUUGAGGCCAAGGCAUCCGAUGCGGUGAUCUCAGAUUUCAAUAUUUCAGAGGCUCUACACAAAGGAAAGGCAUUGGUUUGAUCGUCCGUGGCACCUGCUCGGCCUUCAAGGUAGGUUAUGGCUUACUUUAGUUAGAUUCUGAUUAGAGAAUCGUAUGUAGUUGUGGAAAGUGACGGGGAUAUCAUGAUAGGACUUCGAGCAUGAAGUGGAGGUGAAUACAAAUUAGGUUGGUUCCAUUAGCUAUUAUGUAGGCUUGUCACCUUAUUGUUUCUUUCUGUGAUUAUCACCUACUUGUAUCUCUGUCAUAUACUAGCUCAUUCUUCAUAUGAAAGGGAAGUGUAAUAUUUAUAAUUGAACCGUGAAUAGUAACACGACUUGUACUUGUUGAUUGUAUAUUGGUGAUAUUUUUUUGACUGAUAUCAUGCAUGGUAUGGUUUCCAUAUUACUCUUAUGUGAUGGUGAGGUGGCUGAUUGAGAGACUCAGAGGUCUUUGUCGGAGUUUGAGAGUGACAAAGAGACUUCGAGGUCUUUGCCAAAGAUUGAGAGUGAUUGAUAGCCUUCGAGAUUUCUGCCGGAGAGCAGGAGUGGUAAAUGGACUUCACAGGUCCCCUAUGGGUCAUGGCUUUGAGGUACAGACACUCAGUUUGGUGAUCCUCCGAUUUAGGACUUCAGCUCAGCUGCUUCUAGGGCUCUAGUGUUCCGGAGUUCGAGUAAUUUUGGUACAGAUCCUUUGACAUGGGCUUUGUUAUACUCUUAGAGGUCUGUAGACAUAUGUGGGUUGCAUAUAUACGGUUUGAUCAGCUAUGCAGAUGUAGUUCGCUUUGGAUAUUCCCAUGCAUAGUGGCAGCCUUAUCAGCUUGCAUAAUUUGUUAUGUUUGGUUAGUUGUGGCUUCCUAAGAGAUAGGUUCUUUUUUAUGUAUGAUAUGAUGAGUUUACAGCGUGCUUUUACAGAUUGCCAUAUUGUUUCCAAUUUCGAUCUGAUCAUAUCAAGCAAAUUCGUAUACGGGUGUCCAGUUCGGGCACUGGUCAUGGCC